UCCCUGGUGGCUCAGUGGUAAAGAAUCUGCCUGCCAUGUAGGAGACUCAGGUUCGAUCCCUGACUCUGGAA
rnacentral:tRNA from 1 species